AAGAGGAGAGUUUCCCGGGUGAUUUCUAUGUUUCGUUACUAGAGAAGUUUUUGUGAUUAUGUAGAGUAACUGAAACCAUGAGGAAGAGGUGCGGUGUCCUUUCUGAGCGUGAAGUUGGCUCUGGGUGUUGUUCUUACUGCUGCAUUUUGUCGUUGAUGAUUGUUCUUGUUUCUCUUCGGGAGCAAGUAGAGGGAAGGGACUCCAUGUGAGUGGU
ensembl:snoRNA U3 Small nucleolar RNA U3